rnacentral:rRNA from 1 species
UACAGAGACUGCAAGCGUUAUUCGGAUUCACUGGGCGUAAAGUGUGCGCAGGCGGCCGAGCAAGUCGAGUGUGAAAGCCCCGAGCUUAACUUGGGAACUGCGCUCGAAACUACUUGGCUAGAGUGUGGCAGAGGGAGGUGGAAUUCCACGUGUAGCGGUGAAAUGCGUAGAGAUGUGGAGGAACACCGAUGGCGAAGGCAGCCUCCUGGGCCAACACUGACGCUCAUGCACGAAAGCGUGGGGAGCAAACAGG